rfam:Erinaceus europaeus unplaced genomic scaffold scaffold00779, whole genome shotgun sequence
GAAUAUAAAGGUGAUCUGGUUUUGAUAUCUGUCACACCACUGAUUAUUUGGGCCAUCUGACUGGCUAGGUAACUCUCUUCCUCCUCCUUCACUGCUCCAUGUAUGUCCCUCCCAAAGCUUCACAUUCAGUGGAUGACCUUCACCAACUACAGACAGGCCUGUCUUUAGUUGAGGGACUAUGAAUAGCUGAUAGCUGUGCUCCCCUGCUGGAACCUCCAAACAAGCUCCUAAGUCCAUUUGUAGAACUUAGGGUGGUCAAGCUUCUAAGACUCCAAACAUAUCCAAGUGAGGCACUGCAUAUGUCAGUAUGCAUUUAAAA